CAGAUUUGGAUUUUCUAUUUCAUAGUUAUUGAAAUCAUAAUGAGAAUGAAGUACUGCCACUAAGGUAAAGGUGCUAACUUGCAAGGAGCUGUUCUCAAAACAUUGGGUGACAAAGAAUUCACUUUUACAAAAAUCGAGCAGGAUAUUAAAGACAGCGAACUAUAGAACAAAUAUGGCGAAGCUGCAUGAAGUCUAUGUUGAA
rnacentral:lncRNA from 1 species